rnacentral:rRNA from 1 species
CCUACGGGUGGCAGCAGUGAGGAAUAUUGGUCAAUGGACGAGAGUCUGAACCAGCCAAGUAGCGUGAAGGAUGACUGCCCUAUGGGUUGUAAACUUCUUUUAUAUGGGAAUAAAAUGUUCCACGUGUGGGAUUUUGUAUGUACCAUAUGAAUAAGGAUCGGCUAACUCCGUGCCAGCAGCCGCGGUAAUACGGAGGAUCCGAGCGUUAUCCGGAUUUAUUGGGUUUAAAGGGAGCGUAGGUGGAUUGUAAAGUCAGUUGUGAAAGUUUGCGGCUCAACCGUAAAAUUGCAGUUGAAACUGGCAGUCUUGAGUACAGUAGAGGUGGGCGGAAUUCGUGGUGUAGCGGUGAAAUGCUUAGAUAUCACGAAGAACUCCGAUUGCGAAGGCAGUUCACUGGACUGCAACUGACACUGAGGCUCGAAAGUGUGGGUAUCAAACAGGAUUAGAUACCCUAGUAGUC